GCGUCGGCUUAAGUUGUCAUCUCGCCCUCGCGGUUCUUGCAUCGCGCAGCCAGGGGCCACCGCCCUGCCCUGCUCCCUCCCCCUAGCGAUCGGCGACGACUGCCUGUGCGGCCGCGCCGUUAUGUUGCCGGCCAACUGCCCUGCAUCUCCACUCCUCCAAGGCUCCAACACCCCUUCGCUGACCCCCUGCCUGCCGGGCUGCCGGACAGAAUUUUGUUGAGGCCAACCACAUCACAAACGGCACACAGGUAAACUAACAUAUUCCGCCAAAUUCCCCAUUUACUAAGUAGUAGCCUUAUUUUGUUUAGUUGCUUACAUCUCGUGAUAAGUAGUAGCCUGUCAGAGAAGAAUUGAUCUAGGACUUGUUAAUAUUGGUGAGUCAUGCAUGUACAUGUGUCUAUAUUUGUGGAUCUCAGACAUCAGUCUUCAGGCGUUCAUAUAUGUUUGUGCCUGCAGUCUUUCAUUUAGCUCCGGAUGAUGUGAAAAAUCAUCGUAGAUUUAUACUGUGCCAUCUGCACAAUGUCAAAAUGUUUCUAAUAGCCGAAGUUAUUUUCUGCUACUUAGUCUAGUUUUGAUGCACCCAGAAUCUCGUUAUAAUUACCAAAAUAUUGCAGGUGUCGAUGGAGGAACAGGUGGUAAUGUCAUUCUUGGUUUCUCAAGAUCUGUCUGGGAUUUCAUUAACUUGCAACAUCACACGGUAUGCUGGAUUAUGGUACUCAGGAGUUCCUUUUAUAUCAUUCAGAUCUGAUUCAUGGAGAAUGAUUGCUACUUUUUGCCUGAAGGGUUUGACAUCUUCCUGCAAAAAAAUAAUUAGAAUCAAUAUAUUACAACAUUGAAUUAGAUAUGCAAUACACUUUUGUCAUCCUUCAUGAAUUACCUGUGUAACAGGAUGUGACAGUUUGUGUCCUGUCCAGUUUUCAAUGAAUUGUAGCAUGAAUAAGCCGCAAGAUGAUCUAUUGGUUAAAAAUAUUGGGCACAUUAGUAAUAAGCAAACAUAAGGAAUUGUUGAAUAAUAAUCAAUAAUUGUUACUGCUGCUCUCAUUUCACAUUUUCUCAUGUGAUGAUUUCAAACAUACCCAUCAAAUUGAAUUCGAUCUUGAAUAUACUCUUUUAUAGUCCAUCUAGUUACAUCAAUAUCUGGCCAAGUACCUAGGUUAAACCCAUUCAUCUUAGAAGCAACCUUUAGAUGCGCCUCAAGCCCCUGAAGUUGUUAAAUAGAAAAAAGAGUAUGAUAAUAUAGGUGAAACUAAAUGCAUGAAUUCCAAGUUCAGAUAUAGUAAAAUCAUACCGUAAGUUGUAGAUCAGCUCGGCUCAUUCGAGAACCAAAAGAAUCGAGUACUUGUAUCUCGCGUUGUUUGAUAUUGACAACAGAUAGAUACCAAUGCGUUUGGUUCAUAUUGAUUGGAAUGAACAACUGACACAAAAUAUAUAAGUCGUUGCCCCGGCUAGGUAAACAAAUUGAUAACAAAUGAUAGAACCAUAGGUACGAAAAUUAGUCUAACCAUGUCAUGUUGUAGAUACUUAAGGACCUUUUCAACGAUGUGGUGAUGACUCUCAAGGCUUCUGGGAAUUUCACCAUCUCACUUAAGUAUUCCUGAAUCAUAUGUAGUUUCCAAGAAUACCCGUGCACCCGCUGUACAAAAUUUAUCCUGGACCCUUAGACAGUAAAUAUAUGCAAUUUGACCUAUAGUAGAAAAAGUAACAAAUAAAUUAGACAUUCUUGAAGUGUGUAAGUAUGAUCAUUGGAAUAUAUUUUAGCUGACCUCGCUCUCCACCCAUAUCUCAUCUUCUAAAAGACAUUCCAAAUCUCAACAUGUCAAGGUUGUGUCAUGGAUAUUCACUAACUUGGUUUUGCUAGGGAAGGACAUGAUGUAUUCCUUCAUUUCAGUAAAAUUAAUAGCACAGGCAUUUUCUUUUAUCUCAUUCAGAUCCAUCAGAAACAACAUAGACAUAAGUAAAGCUUAAUUGAAUAAAAAAAUGUGGUGGUUGUUUGUAUAGCGCCUGUGGAAGCUGAUCCGCUUGUUGCUAAUACGUGAAUGCAAGGAGCUCACCUCGGCGGGUGCGACGGACAUGGCGAGUGGAGCGCAGAGGCAACGGCGGCCGUAGCGUAGCGUCGCCGGGAGGACGGCCUUGAGGUGCUUUACAGCGGUGAGCCCGUCCCGGCUGCCGUCGUUUCCCCAACGUAUACAGGUUCUCUUCCACGACUGAUGAACGUGCCCACAAAGGAUCGGCCAGAGAGAGAAGAAAAGAGACCUAUGCAGGGCGUCAAUGGGGUAGUGCGAGCAGCCUUGCUUUAUUAUUUAUACUUCCCUUCCGCUGAACUCGGGAAUUUUUUCCUGCAUGUGACGCGCGGCCUUAACUGCCCUGCAAUAUCGGCGAUUAUCUUCCCUACAUAGGGCAAUCUCCGCGAUUAUCUUCCCUACAUAAACAUGAUUGCUUCCAUCUGAUUUGUUUACCGAUCGGGAGCAAGAAAAUCGCCAGAGAUAUCGCUCCGUUUUAUUGUAUCGUAUACUCUUACUCUGAGUGGAAACAUCCCAUCCAGCGACAAAUUUGGCUAGUCUAUGGCGGAUAAGAUGGAAACACAAAGCAGUCCAUUUUUUAAGAGAAGAGGAAAAGGAAAGAGAGAAACCCGAGGUGGAGAGGGACGUGCAUGGGGAGAUUGAUCACCUUUUGAGAACCAAAUAACAUAUUUAUUACCAUAUAUAAGUUGAUUACGUUUAUAUUGAUUGCGUUAGUAUUACCAAAUACGAGAUUGACUACCAUACAUGAAUUCUUUGGUUACCAAACGCUAUAGUGGGUUUGCCAGAUCAGAUCAGGAUAAACCGGUAAAUAGACAACCAACAGGGAGAAAACCGGUCGAGGGAGACAAGAAAAUCGCUGGAGGGGAGGGGUAGUCGUAGGAGGGGAGGGGUAGUCGUACGAUAGGGUUGGACGAAGACGGGGAAAGUAAGAGGGGAAACGGAACACUCCGUUUCUUUUAGGUAGUAGAGAUACGUAGAAGGAAAGACCAAUGCGACCAAUGCAACCUGACUCGUAGAAAAUUAAUCACGUCGCUUGCGCUGCGAUACUACACAAUGGCUCCUUUGCUCCUUGUGAUGCUCCAGAAGUGCUCCUGCGAUGUCAUCGGAGAGGGUGGCACUGCACAUGUCGUCGUCGCUGCUGAUGCUUUCCAUCUCGGUGCGUAUGAUUCUUGCUGGCCCAGAGCUGCUCCCAGUUCAGCCGAGCCGCUGCAGCUGGUACUCAGCUCCUCGCGGUUCUCGUAUGCCACGUACUACCUCCAUCAUGCACUGGCGCAUCCACUGGCACAAGCUGCGGUUCAUCGCCGGCGCGGCCGAACCGGCAGUUCGCUAUGCAGCAGCUGCAGGGCGGAUGGCCUCUCACUCACCCGUUGCCUCCUGCAACCGCGCUUACUCCCAUGAGUCCCAUCCUCUUCUUCAUCUUUCUCUAUCAUCAUCACGCUGCUCUCGGCCCGGACGUGCUUGUGGAUUUGUGGAAGCGAUUGUUGUCCGAUUUGGUGGCACCCGCGAUUUCAUCGCAGACGGCGGUGCUAUGGCAGGAGCUUCUCUGUUUUGACGAUGGCACGCUGGUUUAAUUGCGCCGGCGUUGGCUUUAAGGUUGAAGGAAGCGCCGGCAUCGGCGUUAAGGCUGAAGGAACCCACAGAGAGGUGCGCUCCAUUGGGAGAUGAUAGGUAAUGGCGCCGAUGUCAGCCUGUCGCACACUGGUGCGUCAGGUUCAUCGGCCUCGCCGGAGAUCUGGCAGUUCUCGGUGAGGAUGAUGGCCUUCUUCCACAUCAUUACCUUGGGGGUCCUCGUUUCUCCUGUCGGCUCAGCGGCAUCUUGCCUGAUGAGGUUCUUCCCAGUCCCAGCUUUCGCCGUGAUGCCAAUGCCGGCAGCACUACCGGUUCAGAUGUCGUCGAUGCGCUUCGAUGGAGCCAAGGCCGAGCCAAGACGAUUUAGGAUUCACGUAUAUUUAGGGUUCACCGAUUAUAACCGCGAUGUGAUUACUAUUCGAUAUUUGUUUCCAAAUAUAUAAAAUAUAUUAUCGGGAUAAUUUUAACCUUUCCGUCACCUGUACGUAUUAUGCACCGUCACAAUAAUGGAAUCUCUUCUCUCUCUUCCUUACAUUACGAUGGAAACACCUUCCUUUUUUGUGGCCUGUUCUAUUCGGUCUUUCCAUGUACUACCGUUUGGAUUUUUUUAAAGGACCGAUUGAAUCCUUGAAAGGGACUUGUUUUGAUGUUUUUUUAAAUCCGUGAUGUUUAUGCUUGUUACGUGUUGGAUGUUAAAAAUAUGUACAUAACAUUAUUCUACGUAACCUUUUCGAUCUUUUAAUCUCAACCAUCGUAAUGUAAAUCAAUGGAUAAUAUAUUUUUAACUUAUGUGGAUGAACAUGAUGGCUUGUUUGACUUCUGUUUUAUGUAUAUAAUAGAUAGAUAGAUAGAUUCUCGGUUCUAGUGUUUCAUCUAUUCUUUUUCCGGAGUUCCAAGUUUUCCGCAUUAUCUCGUCGCGAAACUCCAUCUAAAUCAUCGCAAGGCUUCACCUUGUGUUUUCAAGUUCUCUUUCUUUUUAUCAUCCUUUUAUUACCGGAUUUCUUCAUAGAGGUUCUACAUGGUGGUUCAUCAAGGAUUCCUUUCAUUAUUCAAUUGUUCAUCAAGAUUUCUCUCGAAGUUAUGAUCCGCCAAGCUAUACUCUAAAAUAAACAUGGUGUUCAACACACGUUUUGUUUGGAGGAGUUCAAGCAUUCUUCAUCUUGCAUUCCGAAGUGCAGUUCUUUCUAUCUUAUCUUUUGAGGUGGUGAUAUGUCACUCUUGACAAUUUCCCUUCUCGAUUCACAUGUUGUCAAGAAUGAGGUAUUUUAAAUCCAUCAAUCUCUUCUUUGGAGUUAUCUUGUGUCAUAUUUCACCUAAAGCCUUCCCUAAGGAUUGUUGCUUUUGUGGUGCUUAUCAAUGAUUCAAGUUAUAUCUCUAUCAUCUUGGUGGAAGAAAUUUUUCAUCUCGUCGGUGUUAUCAAUUAUUUUAUUUGUUCCGUAGUGGCAGAAUUUCACCUCAAGUUUUGAGAUGUCUACAUAAGCCCACGAGGAUCAUAUCCUUUUGUUGUUGGUUUUCCAACAACUCCAUUCAAUCCUUCUUUGCAAGGAUGCUUUCCAAGUUCAUUUGUGGCAGAAAUUGUCAUUUUCUUCUCCAUUCUGUUAUUUCAAUGAUCUAUCUUUUAUUCUUUCUUCCGGAGGCAUUGUGAUGUUGCUCUCGUUGACCGAUCAUCUCGUUUUGUCAAGAUCAUGUUAUUCUCUUGCUUAUCCAUUUAACUGGAGUGUUGUGUCAUCUCUUCAAGUUCUUUUCAUCCUAUCAAUUUUUCCUUCUUCUUUCAGUCGGAGUGCUGCCCAAAUUAUAUCUAUCUUAUCACUAAACCUCUUGGUUCUCGUAGUGUUCCUUGUUCCUCUCUUCUAACGGAGUUCAACUUCAAUCAUCUACGGUGUAUUCUUUCCUUGAAAUUGUUUAACCUCUCAAGGUUCAUGGUUUCACUCGUUUGUCGUAGAAGCAACUUAGUUUACCUCUUCUCUUCCUCUUUCUUUUCCCUCCGGUGCCAUCCUAGAUCUCGGGACGAGAUCCUCUCGUAGUGGUGGAGUGUUGUAACGCCCCGGAUGCAACUUUCCAUAUUCGUAACUCCAACUCUUGCCUUUUUCGGAGAUGCGAUACGAUAUUUCCUUCGUGGUUGGGUUUUUGUCUGUUGUUUUGCAUUUUGUUCUUGUUAUGCAUCUCGUCUCAUGUCAUCAUUCGCAUUGCAUCGACAUCGUUUUCAUAAAACUUGCAUCCGCUCGUAGUUGCCGCUUCUUCCGUGUCUCGGUUGACCUUCUCUCAGAUCAACCGGACCGCUCUCUUCUCUCUCUUUUCUGAGCUCAUCAAACCCCUGGCCUUCGUUGACCGUUCCGUGACCACCUAACCUCUAUUGCCAGCUCGCAGCCCCCUCGCGUGCGCGCCCGAAACCUGCCUGGACUUGACCCGCUCAGUCGUCACUGUUGGAUCCAACUCAUCCCCAAACAUCCCGAAAAUAUCUUUGUUUUAUUUAUUGGACUCCCUAGCCUAUUUAUUCUCAUCCGUCGGAUUUUCAUCGGGUGAUCCAAACUCCUCUCUUUCUUAUAUAUAUAGUCUAACCCUAGACCCUAGGAGGGUUGUCCCAUCCAAUCCUUCUCCCCGCCGCCACUCCUCUCCCACCUUGGGAUCUCCUGAUCUUCCUCGCCUUCCGUGCCCUACCAACCACCGCACACCACCAGUCAGAUCCAUCCAACCACCACGCCCGAAGCCUCGCUCCCAGCCUCCCGCAAGCAGAGGCCCCGCGAACCUCUCACUCCCCGUGCUCCUCCACCUCGCCUUCGUCGUCCGACACCGGCGCUGCCACCAGUGACCAGCAGGCGCUCCAGGCCUCUCCCUCAUCCCUCUGCUUCUCCUUCCGUGCGCUCUCCAUCUCUCUCUCUAACCCCCUACUCUUCCUCUCUUGUCCUGGACAGGAACAGCGACGCCAUGGCGCCCGGAGCUCGAGCUCGUCCGGCACCACCGUCCAGACCCACCUCCGGGGACCGGAUUAGCGCCCCGUCAUCCAUCCCAGCCGUUGCAUCGCCUCUGCAUCGAGCGCCGCUCGACCCCGCGUUGACCCGCCGCCCCGCGAGUACAUGGAGCCGCCGCCUCGAUCCCCUUCGGCAGCAGCCGUCGCCGCCGGCCUCCUGCCAUCGCCCAGGACCUCGCCGCCCCUUCGCCCAUCCAUCCCCGGCCUCCUGUGCUCGCCUGCUUCCUCUGCAUCGAAGCCGAGCGCCCCAUCUCGUUGACCAGAUCGAGCGCGAGAGCUCGAGCACGACGCCCCAGCGCCCGCGCCUGGGCCACCUCUGCUUCGGCCAAGCGGCCCCCCUCCGUUGAGCGAGCCCCAGCGCCCCAGCUGGCCUCCUCUGCCUCGGCCUUUAGGCCCAAUGUGAGCAGCCCAGUCCGCCUCAGAUUCGGCCCAUGCCUUUUUUUUCCUGUUGCGAAUUUAGCUUUUAUCUCCAGGAUUUACUAUUUUGCAGAAAAGACCCUCAUCUUCAUGCAUUUAAUAACUCAUGAACCGUGCAUCGGAUUAAAAUGAUUUAAACAUGUUAAAUGCUUAGAAUUUUGUGUAGAUUAAUAAUAUGCCACUUUCAUCCAUGUUUAAAACGUUUAAAUUGUUGUUUGAUUAAAUUUGCUCAAAUGCCAUGUUAAAAUGAUUUAUUUCAUAACUAAAUAACCGUAGCUCCGAAUUUAAUAAACUUCAUAUGUAAAUGGGGUGGAAAAAUGCCUAGUUUAACUUGGUCCACUUUAUUUUCCUGUUUAACAAUAUUAAAAUAUGGUUUAGGGCAGAACAGUACCAAAUUCAUAAUUUGCAUAUGGGGAUUUUCCGGAUUUGUUGUUUGUAACUUCCGGCCUCAUUUAAACUUGUCUAGAUAGGUAGUUUUUCAUAUGCUUCACCUCUUGCCAUGUUUAACAACAUUUAAUAUUGUUGUGUACCUAAACGAGAUUAAACUAAAUAUGUCAAUGUGGUGUUUCGUCAAUAUGCAACUCGUUGCAUAUUGAGCUCCACUUAACUUGUAGUAUUGUUUGUUGCACUUUGCCAUGCCAUGCCUCAUUAAACCGGACAUGCAUCAUACUUGUUUGUGCAUCAUGCCAUGUUUAUGCUUGUGCAUUUACCAUGUUGUUUGUUUCUUUCCGGUGUUGCUUCUUAGUUCCGGUAAUGUUGCGAUUGUGAGGAUUCGUUCGACUACUCCCGUUCGUCUUCUUCAUGGACUUGUUCUUCUUCCUUGCGGGAUAUCAGGCAAGAUGACCGCUACCCUGGAUCUCACUACUAUCAUUGCUAUGCUAGUUGCUUCGUUCUAUCGCUUUGCCGCGCUACCUAUCUCUUGUUGCUCAAGCCUCCCAAUUUGCCAUGUCAGCCUCUAACCUUUUUCACCCUUCCUAGCAAACCAUUGCUUGGCUAUGUUACCGCUUUGCUCAGCCCCUCUUAUAGCGUUGUUAGUUGCAGGUGAAGUUGAAGAUUGCUUCAUGAUGGACAGGAUUAUGUUGAGAUAUCACAAUAUCUCUUAUUUAAUUAAUGCAUCUAUAUACUUGGUAAAGGGUGGAAGACUCGGCCUUAUGCCUGGUGUUUUGUUCCACUCUUGCCGCCCUAGUUUCCGUCAUACCGGUGUUAUGUUCCCGGAUUUUGCGUUCCUUACGCGGUUGGGUGAUUUAUGGGACCCCCUUGACAGUUCGCUUUGAAUAAAACUCUUCCAGCAAGGCCCAACCUUGAUUUUACCAUUUGCCUCACCUAGCCCUUUUUCCCUUGGGUUUCCGGAGCCCGAGGGUCAUCCUUAUUUACCCCCCCCCCCCCGGGCCAGUGCUCCUCUGAGUGUUGGUCCAAACUAGAGCACCGUGCGAGACCAUUCCUUGGCAACUUGGAUUCGUCGGUACCUGUACGCUUAGCUUAUCCGGUGUGCCCUGAGAACGAGAUAUGUGCAGCUCCUAUCGGGAUUUGUCGGCACGGCGGGUGGUCUUGUUGGUCUUGUUUUACCAUUGUCGAAAUGUCUUGUAAACCGGGAUUCCGAGUCUGACCGGGUCUUCCUGGGAGAAGGUAUAUCCUUCGUUGAUCGCGAGAGCUUAUCAUGGGCUAAGUUGGGACACCCCUGCAGGGUAUAAACUUUCGAAAGCCGUGCCCGCGGUUAUGGGCAGAUGGGAAUUUGUUAAUGUCCGGUUGUAGAUAACUUGACACCAGAUCCGAAUUAAAACGCAUCAACCGCGUGUGUAGUCGUGAUGGUCUCUUUUCGGCAGAGUCCGGGAAGUGAACACGGUUUUGGGUUAUGUUUGACGUAAGUAGGAGUUCAGGAUCACCUCUUGAUCAUUACUAGUUGACGACCGUUUCGCUUGCUCUCUUCUCGCUCUUAUUUGCGUAUGUUAGCCACCAUAUAUGCUUAGUCGCUGCUGCAGCCUCACCACUUUACCCCUUCCUUUUCCCAUUAAGCUUUGCUAGUCUUGAUACCCAUGGUAAUGGGAUUGCUGAGUCCUCGUGGCUCACAUAUUACUACAACAACAGUUGCAGGUACAGGUUAUUGCGAUGAUCAUGACGCGAGAGUGAUGUUGCUUGUUUUGGAGUUCUUCUUCUGCUUCUUCUUGGAUCAGGGGAUAGGUUCCAGGUCGGCAGCCUGGGCUAGCAGGGUGGAUGUCGUUUGAGCUUCUGUUUGUGAUUCAUCCGUAGUCGGAUGUUGAUCUUAUGUAAGAUGAUGUUGUAUUCAUGUGGCAUUGUAUGCCUUAUGUAUGUAUCCCCAUCUAAUUAUGUAAUGUUG
rnacentral:lncRNA from 1 species